rnacentral:rRNA from 1 species
UACGAAGGGGGCUAGCGUUGCUCGGAAUCACUGGGCGUAAAGGGCGCGUAGGCGGGUCUUUAAGUCAGGGGUGAAAUCCUGGAGCUCAACUCCAGAACUGCCUUUGAUACUGAGGAUCUUGAGUUCGGGAGAGGUGAGUGGAACUGCGAGUGUAGAGGUGAAAUUCGUAGAUAUUCGCAAGAACACCAGUGGCGAAGGCGGCUCACUGGCCCGAUACUGACGCUGAGGCACGAAAGCAUGGGGAGCGAACAGG